rnacentral:rRNA from 1 species
GGGUUGUGAGGUUAAGCGACUAAGCGUACACGGUGGAUGCCCUGGCAGUCAGAGGCGAUGAAGGACGUGCUAAUCUGCGAAAAGCGUCGGUAAGGUGAUAUGAACCGUUACAGCCGGCGAUGUCCGAAUGGGGAAACCCAGUGCAAUUCGUUGCACUAUCGUUAACUGAAUACAUAGGUUAACGAGGCGAACCGGGGGAACUGAAACAUCUAAGUACCCCGAGGAAAAGAAAUCAACCGAGAUUCCCCCAGUAGCGGCGAGCGAACGGGGAGCAGCCCAGAGUCUGAAUCAGCUUGUGUGUUAGUGGAACGGUCUGGAAAGUCCGACGGUACAGGGUGAUAGUCCCGUACACCAAAAUGCACAGGUUGUGAACUCGAAGAGUAGGGCGGGACACGUGGUAUCCUGUCUGAAUAUGGGGGGACCAUCCUCCAAGGCUAAAUACUCCUGACUGACCGAUAGUGAACCAGUACCGUGAGGGAAAGGCGAAAAGAACCCCGGCGAGGGGAGUGAAAAAGAACCUGAAACCGUGUACGUACAAGCAGUGGGAGCACCUUCGGGUGUGACUGCGUACCUUUUGUAUAAUGGGUCAGCGACUUAUAUUCUGUAGCAAGGUUAACCGUAUAGGGGAGCCGCAGGGAAACCGAGUCUUAACUGGGCGUUAAGUUGCAGGGUAUAGACCCGAAACCCGGUGAUCUAGCCAUGGGCAGGUUGAAGGUUGGGUAACACUAACUGGAGGACCGAACCGACUAAUGUUGAAAAAUUAGCGGAUGACUUGUGGCUGGGGGUGAAAGGCCAAUCAAACCGGGAGAUAGCUGGUUCUCCCCGAAAGCUAUUUAGGUAGCGCCUCGUGAACUCAUCUUCGGGGGUAGAGCACUGUUUCGGCUAGGGGGUCAUCCCGACUUACCAACCCGAUGCAAACUACGAAUACCGAAGAAUGUUAUCACGGGAGACACACGGCGGGUGCUAACGUCCGUCGUGAAGAGGGAAACAACCCAGACCGCCAGCUAAGGUCCCAAAGUCACAGUUAAGUGGGAAACGAUGUGGGAAGGCACAGACAGCCAGGAUGUUGGCUUAGAAGCAGCCAUCAUUUAAAGAAAGCGUAAUAGCUCACUGGUCGAGUCGGCCUGCGCGGAAGAUGUAACGGGGCUAAACUGUGCACCGAAGCUGCGGCAGCGACACUAUGUGUUGUUGGGUAGGGGAGCGUUCUGUAAGCCUGCGAAGGUGGCCUGUGAGGGUUGCUGGAGGUAUCAGAAGUGCGAAUGCUGACAUAAGUAACGAUAAUGCGGGUGAAAAGCCCGCACGCCGGAAGACCAAGGGUUCCUGUCCAACGUUAAUCGGGGCAGGGUGAGUCGACCCCUAAGGCGAGGCCGAAAGGCGUAGUCGAUGGGAAACAGGUUAAUAUUCCUGUACUUGGUGUUACUGCGAAGGGGGGACGGAGAAGGCUAUGUUAGCCGGGCGACGGUUGUCCCGGUUUAAGCAUGUAGGCGGAGGUUCCAGGUAAAUCCGGUACCUUUUAACGCUGAGGUGUGAUGACGAGGCACUACGGUGCUGAAGUAACAAAUGCCCUGCUUCCAGGAAAAGCCUCUAAGCAUCAGGUAACAUUAAAUCGUACCCCAAACCGACACAGGUGGUCAGGUAGAGAAUACCAAGGCGCUUGAGAGAACUCGGGUGAAGGAACUAGGCAAAAUGGUGCCGUAACUUCGGGAGAAGGCACGCUGAUAUGUAGGUGAAGCCCCUGCGGGUGGAGCUGAAAUCAGUCGAAGAUACCAGCUGGCUGCAACUGUUUAUUAAAAACACAGCACUGUGCAAACACGAAAGUGGACGUAUACGGUGUGACGCCUGCCCGGUGCCGGAAGGUUAAUUGAUGGGGUUAUCCGUAAGGAGAAGCUCUUGAUCGAAGCCCCGGUAAACGGCGGCCGUAACUAUAACGGUCCUAAGGUAGCGAAAUUCCUUGUCGGGUAAGUUCCGACCUGCACGAAUGGCGUAAUGAUGGCCAGGCUGUCUCCACCCGAGACUCAGUGAAAUUGAACUCGCUGUGAAGAUGCAGUGUACCCGCGGCAAGACGGAAAGACCCCGUGAACCUUUACUAUAGCUUGACACUGAACAUUGAGCCUUGAUGUGUAGGAUAGGUGGGAGGCUUUGAAGCGUGGACGCCAGUCUGCGUGGAGCCAACCUUGAAAUACCACCCUUUAAUGUUUGAUGUUCUAACGUUGGCCCCUUAUCGGGGUUGCGGACAGUGUCUGGUGGGUAGUUUGACUGGGGCGGUCUCCUCCCAAAGAGUAACGGAGGAGCACGAAGGUUAGCUAAUCCUGGUCGGACAUCAGGAGGUUAGUGCAAUGGCAUAAGCUAGCUUGACUGCGAGCGUGACGGCGCGAGCAGGUGCGAAAGCAGGUCAUAGUGAUCCGGUGGUUCUGAAUGGAAGGGCCAUCGCUCAACGGAUAAAAGGUACUCCGGGGAUAACAGGCUGAUACCGCCCAAGAGUUCAUAUCGACGGCGGUGUUUGGCACCUCGAUGUCGGCUCAUCACAUCCUGGGGCUGAAGUAGGUCCCAAGGGUAUGGCUGUUCGCCAUUUAAAGUGGUACGCGAGCUGGGUUUAGAACGUCGUGAGACAGUUCGGUCCCUAUCUGCCGUGGGCGCUGGAGAAUUGAGGGGGGCUGCUCCUAGUACGAGAGGACCGGAGUGGACGCAUCACUGGUGUUCGGGUUGUCAUGCCAAUGGCAUUGCCCGGUAGCUAAAUGCGGAAGAGAUAAGUGCUGAAAGCAUCUAAGCACGAAACUUGCCCCGAGAUGAGUUCUCCCUGAGACUUUAAGUCUCCUGAAGGAACGUUAAAGACGAUGACGUUGAUAGGUCGGGUGUGUAAGCGUAGCGAUACGUUGAGCUAACCGAUACUAAUGAACCGUGAGGCUUAACCUUACAACGCCGAAGGUGUUU